AUGGCGCAUCUGCGGCUCCACGGCACCAUCAAUGCUACCAUCAUGGGGGCCGACAACAUCCAUGAUCGCUCCCGCCACACCGGCAUCGUCGCCAGCUUCCUUGGCAAUAUUGUGCAAGGUGUGCAGGAGACGACGGGUUUGGGCAAGGGCCUGUCGCGGAUGUACGCGGCCAUCUACCUCGGCAGCGCGUGCAUCGCGCGGACGCGUACCAUCGCCAUCCCUGCAGCCGGAAGCGCGCGAUGGAACGAGCCGCUCCGCGCCUACUGCGCCCACCACGCCGCCGACGUCGUCAUCUCCAUCAUGAUCGAGCAGCUCGGCCUCGACGAUGACACGGUCCUCGGCCGCGCCUACCUGCCCGCCCGGGAGCUCCUCAAUGCCAAUGGCACAACAAUCGACCGCUGGUUCGACGUCCUUGGCACGGACAGGACGAAGCUCCCGGAUGGACCCAAGAUACACGUGCAGAUCAGCUUCUGCGAUGUCGCUGACCAAGGCCUGGCGUGGGGCGGCGGAGUCGGCGGCGGCGUGGUGCCCCACACCUUCUUCGCGCAGAGGCCGGGGUGCAGGGUCACCCUGUACCAGGACGCGCACGCGUCUGAGGAGUUCGACCCCAAGAUCCGGCUCGACGGUGGCGGGCUCUACAAGCCCGGGCACUGUUGGGAAGACAUAUACGACGCCAUCAGCAACGCACGGCACCUCGUGUACAUCACGGCCUGGUCCAUGUUCCCCCACAUCACGCUGGUGCGGGGCCGGGACGGCGUGCAGGAAACCCCCGGCGAGCUCCUGAAGCGCAAGGCCGGCGAGGGCGUGCACGUGCUCCUGCUCGUGUGGAACGACAUCUCCUCCAUUGAUGGCCUGCACGAGGUCGGCGUCAUGGACACGAGGGACCAGCUGACGGCCAAGUACUUCCGCGGCAGCCGCGUGCAGUGCGUCCUCUGCCCGAGGAACUGGUCCGUCAGAGGCUACAUCUUGGACGCCAAGACGCCUGUCGACACGGUCGUUUACAGCCACCACCAGAAGGCCAUCACCGUCGACCAGGAGCUACCUGCUUCGUCGGGGUCGAACGGGCACCGCCAGAUCGUCAGCUUCCUCGGCGGCCUCGACGUGUGCAAUGGACGCUACGACACGCAGUCCCACUCCCUGUUCAGGACGCUGGGCACGGGGCAGGCGCACAGCAAUGACUUCAGCCAAAUCAACUUCAGUGACGAGGACGCGACGCUCGACAAGGGCGGGCCCAGGACGCCAUGGCACGACAUCCACGCCAAGGUCGAGGGCGCCGUGGCAUGGGACGUGCUCCACAAUUUCGAGCAGCGGUGGAGGAAACAAGGCGGCGGCAAGGAGCACCUGGUCGACCUUGUAGCCCUCGAGGGCAAGGUCGCUCCGUCCUCAUGGCCGGUGACGCUCCCCGGCGACCAGGAGGCGUGGAGUGUGCAACUGUUCCGGUCCAUCGACAGCAUCUCCACCUUGGGCUUCCCCGACUCCAUGGAGGAUGCCUAUGAGGCCGGCCUCGUCCAAGACAAGCACCGAGUGUUCGAGAGGAGCAUCCAGGACGCCUACAUCCACGCCAUACGCGCCGCAAAAAGCUUCAUCUACAUUGAGAACCAGUACUUCGCCGGCAGCUCCUUCCAGUGGAAAACCCACGACGGCAUAGACCCGGCAGAUGUCGGGGCGUGUCAGCAGAUCCCCAGGGAGCUCUCACUCAAGAUCGUGAGCAAGAUAGAGGCCGGCGAACGCUUCGCGGUCUAUGUCGUGGUGCCCAUGUGGUCGGAAGGCACCCCUACGGGGCGAUACAGGCAGGCAAUGCUGGACAACCAAAGAAGGACAAUGGCCCUAAUGUAUGACGACAUCGCCGUUGCGCUGCAGGCCAAGAAGAUCGACGCCAACCCCAGGGACUACCUUACCUUCUUCUGCUUAGGGAACCGGGAGGCCAAGAGUGAGGGCGAGCACCAGCCCGCGAAACACCCAAAGGAUGGGACGGACUACGCCAGGGCGCAGAAGGCACGCCGGUUCAUGAUCUACGUUCACUCCAAGAUGAUGAUAGUUGAUGACGAGUACAUCAUUGUGGGAUCUGCCAACCUCAACGAGCGGUCCAUGGCGGGGGACAGGGACAGCGAGAUAGCUAUUGGCGCGUACCAGCCGCACCGCAUCAACACCGAUGCCGAGCUCGCCAAGGGGCACGUCCAUGGCUUCCGGAUGUCGCUGUGGUACGAGCACCUCGGCAAGACGCACGACGACUUCCUCCGCCCGGGGAGCCUAGAGUGCGUGCGGAUGGUCAACAAGAUGGCCGAUGAGUGCUGGAACCUCUACGUCGGCGACCAGCUCAAGGACGACCUCCCAGGCCACCUCCUCACCUACCCCGUCGCCGUAAGCAAGGCCGGCACGGUCUCGACGCUCAAGGGGUUUGAAUUCUUCCCUGACACGAAGGCUCGCGUGCUUGGUAAGCCGACUGGAAUAAGUGACUAUUUUAUGAGCAUAUAG
rnacentral:rRNA from 1 species